GGAUAAUUAUAAAUUGAGAGAAGUCCUAAUUUAUAGAUGCAACCUCUUGGGUAAAGACACUAAGUUGAUAAACAACUUUAAUUAUUGUUUGAUCUAUGCUGCACCGAGGAGGCCAGUUGUACUUAACUUGGUUCCUUUUUGCAUAUUUGUCAUACGCAUAUCAUGAGCAUUCAUCAUUUUGCGUAUAGUGCACGUGACCGAAGGAGCGACCGUUGAACCGAACCCCGAGGUCAGUGCUCCGUUCGAGGAAAUAGGAUCCGAGACUUGGGAAGUCUCCGAGGGUCCCUCUCAGCUCUGCAACCAAGGCAAGCCCCAGAUGCAUUAACCCCUCCUUGAAUAUUUUAAAUCUUUUAUCACUUAUGAAUUGAAAAUGCUGCAUUAGGUAGUUGAGAAUUGGGUUAACCUACUGGCUGCAUUUACUACCUUGAUAUUUGUUAUCCUGUCCUUGACACCUGUUUUAUUUUAAAAUCGCGUAGUAAUGCUUAGCUCUGCUACUAGAUAGGUUUUCCAACAAGAAAGUUUGAUGGGUUGUUGUGGAAUACACUUAUGGUCAAUGAUGUUUCAACUUGAGACCGAUCGGUGGACUUGCUUUAAGAAUGGAGUCUUAAAGUAGUGUCUCCAACUGUGUCGGUUAAGGACCGGUCCGUUGAUGGCCUGCUGGGUUGAGAAUUUAUAGUACUAGCCACUUGCCCUCGGUAAGCCUGGUCUUGUGAUCCCUCGAUGCGAACAGCUACUCGCGCACUGGGCGUGGAGCGAUGGUGAGAGUAGUGUGUACCCACCUUACGGAUCUGAGAUGACCGGGAAACAUCUAGAUCGGCUGUAGGAUGGUGGAGUACUGUGCUCUCGGGUGCCGCGAACCUAGUCAAAUUUGGGGAGAGCUUGAUUUGGGUUGACAUAUGCAAGAUUUGGUUCUACAUAUGUCGGGUGGUUAGGAACUCCAGCUGGAUUGCUAAGCGAUUCGAAUCGUCGUUGCUCCCCGAUUGGGAGACUCAAUUCCUUCGACCCUCAUUGUAGUUAAAUAUGCAACUAAGUGGUAAAAUGAGAAAGGGGGAAAUGUCGCAUGAGGUUCAUAUCCCAAUUUCCGGACUCAGAGUGACAUGAAACUAUGGUCGUUGGAU
rnacentral:lncRNA from 1 species